rnacentral:rRNA from 1 species
CGGCUUGGUAAAUGCCUGGGUAAAUCGCACCGCUUAACGGUGCGAAUUCCGGGUAGACUGUCAAGCUUGAGACCGGGAGAAGUUAGAGGUACUCCUGGGGUAGAGGUGAAAUUCUGUAAUCCUAGGGGGACCACCAGUGGCGAAAGCGUCUAACUAGAACGGGUCUGACGGUGAGGGACGAAGCCCUGGGGCGCGAACCGGAUUAGAUACCCGGGUAGUCCAGGGUGUAAACGCUGCUUGCUUGAUGUUAGUCGGGCUCCGAGCCCGAUUAGUGUCGGAGAGAAGUUGUUAAGCAAGCUGCCUGGGAA